ACAACAAUCUUCAACAAUUCCUCUACUACUGCAGUGCCGGCCAUCAGCCGUAACAUAGCGGCGAGAUGUCCUUCUUGUUCCGUAAAAGCGCGCCCGUAGCCGCAGGAGAUCGCGCGCUCCGUCAAGGACCCCCCUCGUCGCCCUCGACACCAUGACCGGCGCGGCGGCGCGAAGGUAUAUGCGCGGCCCUCCAACAUCUUGGUCCCGCAUUCCAUCCGCGUGUGCAGGACUGCAGGCUCGCCGCUAACGUCUCGUCCACCCACCAACCGGAUCAUCUUGGGUCCUGUCAACGAGGUUGAGUUGCUUUUGUUUCUGGACUUGUGCGGAGUCCCAUAGAGAUAGAGUCGCGUUUUUUUGGUAGACUCCCUUUUCUUGGUGACAGACUGACAGUACUCCAGUUCUCUGUCAGUUGACGAAUGUUGCUUGACAUCGGCAAGUAGAGAUUGCUGGUAUUGAUGGGGGCAUUGCCUGAUACUUUGUUAAUUGUCAGGGCGGUUUGAAUGGUUGGUCUGUCUCUUUAGCUUGUCGCUCAAAGCUUCAGAAAACAACUGACUAGUGGAUUGUAAUGAGGGCUGUGAGGUUGCAAUUGCCACUGGAUUGCACAUUUGUGCCUCCAUGUAGGUGGUGGUAAUGGAAGUUUGGUUCUACACUCAUUUGUUUGAUGUAGUUAUAAAGUUAAUCAUGACAGUGAGAUGACACUUGGUCUUACUUGUUCACCACAUGUAUAAGUUAGCAGUUGUGAUCUUUUUGCAACAUAUCAUUGAUCUUUGACAUACAACAACUGCAAGAGCCAGAUCACUUCCGAAUCUGCACUUCUCUCAUGUUCUUUUCAACACUGUUCGCAUGGAAAUAGAUAAUUAGAUAUGUAUGUUGAGCCAGCUUUAAGUGAGAACCUGUUUACUUAUUUAAUUUACAGUUUUAGUUGUUCUCUGGUUGAUGUGUAGCCCCUGUAUAGAUUUCUUGUGCACUGAGCAGUGAACACCAUGGUACAAAAAACAUGUUGCUCAUGAAUUUGUGCAUGCUCCUGUUAGGCUCUUGAGGAUGCUGAGAAAAACAUACUUACGUUUAGGCAUACACUUGCUGGUGAAGUGGAACCAAAUCAAGAGCAGGUUCUGCAGAUAGCCCUUGAGAUUUGCAAGGAGGGUGUUAUUUCCUUCUUUGUUCAGAAUCUUCCUUCCUUGGGUUGGGAGGUAUGUUUUUUUCUUCUUCUGAAAUUCAGGAGGACUGCAUAUCAUUGCAUUAAUAGAAGAAAGAAAGGGUUGGGAGGUAUGUAUAUUCACAAAUUGAGUGUGACAACCUUUUUCACUGUGUUAUUAGCCUUAUUGGUGCCCCAACGGAUUUCUUCCGUGUCUUGUCUCCACGAGAAUAGCUAUAUUCAACGUUGGCUCGCCAAGCCUAUCACAACCCUUCUCUUCCUUUACUAGGGCUUCGAACCUGCUAUGUUGAGACAACGUAGGCGGAGUUAUGUUGCUCCAGUAUAUUGAAAAUCAUUUUGAUCUUCUGGAUUUCCUUGUUGUUUGGUAAGGCCUGUUUCUGAAGUUAUGAAUUGGAUUGGAACACAGGGAAUUGGAGCAUGCUGAUUCGUUUCUUGGCUGGAAAUGGGAAUGCAAUUGCAGAAAUAUAUAGAUAACUGAUUGCUUCCUAUGGCUAUUUAUUUUUACCACUUAUAUUUGCAUAGUUGUAUUAUUUUGUGUGUUUGUUUGUGAAAUGCAUUUGUAGUAUAUGCAAUAGUUUUACCACUUCUACUUGCAUUAUUUUUUUUCCUCAAACGCACAAGAGAGUUGCACAUCAUUAUAUUAAGAGAGGAGAAAAGGUCUAAAGUGGACCAGAGUACAAAGCCCGGAGUGCAGAAAAAACUGGACGUAAGCAGUAAGCACCAUGAACCUAACACCCAUGCCUCCUCUCCAACAACACAAGAGAAGAAACAUAAGCAAAGGAUAAGGCAGACCCGACUAGUCUAAACUGUAGCACUAGAAGUAGCCAAGACCCUAUUUAAGGCAACUGCAAGCCCAAGACUCUCAAGAUGCUUAGCACCCGCCUUAUCCCAGCAGAUCAAUUAAUCUAAAAACAGUCUUUUGACAGUGCUAAUGGAAGGAUUCACUCCAUCAAAAACAACCUUGUUACGAAGAAGCCAUAAGCACCAAGCCCCUAGAAUUAUGACACUAUUGAAGCCUUUUAUCCUGCUCUUAUGCACUUUUUUAAGAGCCUUUCCCCACCGCACAGCAAAAGAGAUCUCAUCAAUAUCAAAAGUGAGAUCACCCAGUCCCAUGAGCGACAAAAUAUGAUGCAAAAACUGUCUAGCAAAACUGCAAGUGCAAAGGAGAUAUUGGGUUGUUUCUUGCUCUUGAUCACAUAGGGGACACACCAGGUAUUGCAAUCCUCUCAUUUGAAGUCUAUCAACAGUCCAACACUUAUUCCUUAUUGACAACCAAAGGAAAAACUUGCAUUUUGAGGGAGCCCAAGUCUUCCACAAUCUUUUCGAUGGCUCAAAUGAAAUGGAACCCAUGAAGAAGGCUGUAUAGCAGGACUUGCAUUAUUUUUGUGUGUUUGUCUAUGAACUGCUCCUGUAGUAUAUGCCAUUGUAAUACUCCUGCGCCUGACUGAUUUAACUAUGUUUUACCAGCUACAAGAACUUGGAAGUAAGGUUUGGAAUAUUUGUUCAACUAUAUUUUCUUUUCUUAGUGGAUCUGCAAUAGCAUACAGUUUCCAGCAUAUAUGCCUUCGCCUGACAUCUGUUUUUUUAGAACCUCUGGCCCUUUGUAGUUGCAUGCAUGGACAGAUAUAGUACAUAAUGCAUUCGCUAAAACAAGCAGUCAUGGAAAUGUACUCUGUAGUAUGCAGAUGUUAGAUUUUGCAAAAAAAACUAAAGCAAACAAACAAAUAAAUGAGUUAGUUAAUUUUGCAAAUGAUUAUGUUUUCAUACAUUUGAUUUUAUACUGCUCUUUCAGAUAUAUAUUGGAGUCAAGUAGCUUCGAGUUGUUUUUCCAGUAAGUUGAAUUGCCAAACUUCGAUAUUGCUUCUGAUGCUCUGAACACCUUCAAGAUACUUGCAGGAUUUGCUAACCAAACAUGAAGAUCAAGUCUCUGAAUUCCUGAGCUCAAAUUAUGAACAGGUCAGCCAAAUAAUACCUUUAUGUAGAACGAAUGAAAUUCAUAAUUUUAAUGUUUAUUCCAAAUAAUUAAGAGGACCAAUAGUUUUGCUCCACCCUGUCCCUUGCAUUUUGUAUCUUCCUCCGUGUCAUCUUUUGCAUAGGUUGGUUUGGCUUUUAAUGAAUAAUUGUUCUUUUGUAUUGCUAAAGUUUUGAAGCGCCGAUCCAUUGUAAACAUGCGCAGUUUUUACUCUACACAAAGACAAUCGGUGAAGGUUAGACUAUUUAAAUUGCAAUUUCUUGUAGGGUACAAAAAUGCGAUGCUUUAAGGCACUUCGCUGCAUGCCAGUUUCGUUCAGAGUUUCUGUUAGAGGCCCCAAAUGCUCAAUAGUGAAGAGUUUCAUUUUCGAAGUUCGUUACUUAAACAUUAUGGUGGGUCUUCUGAAGGUAUUAGAGUAUAAGUUCCCUGCUUAUAUUUAAAGAAUCAGCAAUGAUAUUGAUCACCCUUCUCAUUUCCUCUGUUUCUUGAUUUUUCACUUAAGUAGUUAUGACAUUUUAGUGCCAUUAUCUUGUGAAAAAUGGCGGUUGUUAUUAGCACAAUAGAUGAGAGAUCCUGCUUUGGCUUUUGGAUAUCUUGCCAAGCAAAGGUCAUCCUCAGAGACUAAGAUAUACGUGCAGAACUAUACUCUUGCAAUUGUUCUUUAGUGACUGCCAGAGAUCCGGCCAUUCAGAUCUAAAUGGCUUUCUGUUUAUAGCUAAAUUGCAUAGCACCAUUGUUCAUGUUGAAUACUACCAUUUUAUUUCUCUGGGCUAUUUAUGUAUUGCUUGGGUACCCCAGUCAUCUUGUAUCUAACAGUGAGUAUUCGAGCAGUUCUCAUAGUUUCUAAUACAAAAGUAGUUCAAAUAUUCCUUCUUAAAUGAAAUGACACGCAAAUCUCCUGCGUUGUUUGAGAGAAAAAAAGUAGUCCAAAUAUACACACUUGCCAACUAGCCAGUGCUACAAAUUUUCUUCUUUUAAGACAAAUGAUGAAAACAACACAGGUUAGUCAUAGAUAGUUUGUUUUCAUCUUCAUAACUAGUGGCCAUCUUUUUCAUGCUAUACACAUUCUUUUUUUAAUGCCUCUACUAAGUACUACCUCCGUUCUCGAAUAUUUGUCGUCCGCUAGUUUAUUUUUGACCUAAAACGUGACAAAUAAAAAAGAACGGAGGGAGUACUAGCCAGUGUCUUUUGUAGGAUUCAACCAAAAAUAUCAGGAUAUGUUCCUUGCACAUUUUGAAGGUAUACGUUUACCCUUUCGGUUUUACGUUGGAUAGCUGUUGGUUUGAAUUAAUCAUAGCUUUGCGUGAGCACUAUGUUGUUGCCAUUUUUUGGAAGGUUCAUUUUCACUACGCGGAUGCAGGUAUUUGUUGCCAAUCCAAACAAACCUCGAGAGAUUAUCUCAGGUUUUGGCUGACAAUCACAGAGAACUGUUGAAGCUACUCCACAAUCUCCCCACUAGCAAAGGUAUUACUACUGUAUUGCCUAAUUCUAACUUAACCCUAACCCUAUUCUGUGUCCAAGCAAUCGAUGCUAGUAAUAGAGUAACAGAAUAUGAUGAUUGGAACUCGAUGUUAAGAUUUCUGAGUGAUGUGCAUUGAAGCGCUAAUAAUGUGCCCCAUUUUAAUUAUCAAAGAAAUCGAGAAGCUUGCGCGGAUGUCAGUAUAAACCCUCAGGAAAUUCGAACAUAGCUCCUUGAUGUUGAUGUUCAGGAACCCUUUCUCACCUCAAAGUUCUGAAGACAUCCUGUGUAAUGUGCUGCCCUGUAUGGAGCUUGUUUUUCAUAUAUGGAAAAGGUUUGGCCA